rnacentral:lncRNA from 10 species
CUCUUUCCCGCCAGGCUUGGCUGAUCCCGACCUUGGAAGCAAUCCUGAAUAUGGGCCAGCAAGUCUAGGUUCGGCUGCCUGACAGCUGUUUCUUGACAGCUCUCAGGUUCCCCAAAUAUCCCUACCUCUUUGGAAUGCUGGGGAGACCCCAGUUACGGAGAAAACAUAGUUCUGCCCAAGGCAGGUGGUAUCAUGGGAAGGCAGCGUCUCCUACAGAUAUCCCUGCUGCUGCCCACCUCAUCCCCACUCCCUACUCCCUCCCCUGCACCUCCCCCAGGCUCCGGACCUCCUCCAGCCCACCACCCCCCACUCUGCUUUUCCCUCCAAGGCUGGCAGCUCCAGCAGCCCCACCCUCCACACCUGUCCCCUUCUUGGUUCAUCACCAAGUGACUUGUCCUGAACAAAUAUUUGCACACCCAUGUUCCUGGCAUCUUUAUACACAACCAAAAGGCAGAAGCAACCCAAGUGUUCAUUGCUAGGUGAACGGAUACGCAAAACUUGGUGUCUCCAUACAAUGGAACCUUAUUUAGCCUCGAAAAGCAGUGAAACACUGACACAGGCUACAACACAGAGGAGCCUUGAGGACAUUAUGCUAAGCGAAAGAAGCCAAAUAAAAAAGAACAAAUGCUGAGCUGGGUGCGGUGGCUCACGCCUGUAAUCCCAGCACUUUGGGAGGCAAGGCAGGUGGAUCACCUGAGAUCAGGAGUUUGAGACCAGCCUGGCCAAUAUGGUGAAACCCUGUCUCUACUAAACACCCAAAAAUUAGCCGGGUGUGGUGGCGGGCGCCUGUAAUCCUAGCAACUCUGAAGGCUGAGGCAGGAGAAUCGCUUGAACCUGGGAGGCAGAGGUUGCAGUGAGCCGAGAUCAAGCCACUACACUCUAAGCCUGGACGAUAGAGCAAGACUCCGUCUCAAAGAAAAAAAAAUCCUGUCAACUUCCACUCGCAUGAAGCCCCUAACACAGUCAGACUUGCAGAGACAGAAAGUGGAAUGGAAACUGCCAGGGCCUGGGGGCGGUGGGUGGGGUGGAGAGUUUAUGUUUCAUGGGGACAGUUUCUGUUUGAGAAGAUGAAAAUGCUCUGGAGAAGGAUGGCGGUGAAGGCUGCACAAUCAUGUGAAUGAGCCAAAUGCCCCGGAACUGUGCACAAAAGAUGAUGUAGCCCACGGUGCCUGGCUGGACCAAGAAGAAUGAGGACCAGGGCUGUGCUAGAACCAGGUG